rnacentral:lncRNA from 1 species
AUCUUUCUAAUACCUAGAGACGUUGUAUUCGGGAUUUAGUGUUGGAAAUCAGUGUAUGCUUUACAUCCAGGUCUAUAGGGGGUUUUAUGGCACAAAGGUUCCCAUUUUGUUGCCAUGAACAACCCAUGCACCUUGGAGGCCAUAUUUUAUGGAUUUUUGGGCCAAAGACCCCUUGCAUGCGUUUCAAGUUUGGAACUUUACGUGUAAAAUGGACAUUAGGAUGCCAGAUCUAUGGUUUUGGUGUGUUAAGUCCUACUGAAAUCGACUAUAUAGUUUGGGACAAGGAGGGACUCGGCGAGUCGAGACGCUUUUUCCCCAAAAAAACGUUUUCUGGAAUGGUUUUAGUUGAGUGAAAGGAACACUCAGCCUACUAGGGGGUUUGCCUUGUACCUGGAAGUCAUGGAACUCGACGAGUGCUAGAAUAGACUCGGCGAGCCAAGGCAAUCUCCCUAUCUUUGAAGAUGGGAUCGAUGAGUUGUUCAUACAACUCGGCGAGUCUGGAGCUCAUUUUCAGCUUAUUGUAGGUAUGAAGUUGAACAUGAGCUUGUGAGGCCAAGGGGAAACAAGAAGAUCCAGAGUUUGGAGCUCAUUUUCAGCUUAUUGUAGGUAUGAAGCUGAACAUGUGUCUAUAGAUCUUGAUUUUGGGCCUUUUUCCUUCAUCUUUCUAAUACCUAGAGAGGUUGUAUUCGGGAUUUAGUGUUGGAAAUCAGUGUAUGCUUUAGAUCCAGGUCUAUAGGGGGUUUUAUGGCACAAAGGUUCCCAUUUUGUUGCCAUGAACAACCCAUGCACCUUGGAGGCCAUAUUUUAUGGAUUUUUGGGCCGAAGACCCCUUGCAUGCGUAUCAAGUUUGGAACUUUACGUGUAAAAUGGACAUUAGGAUGCCAGAUCUAUGGUUUUGGUGUGUUAAGUCCCACUGAAAUCGACUAUAUAGUUUGGGACAAGGAGGGACUCGGCGAGUCGAGACGCUUUUUCCCCAAAAAAACGUUUUCUGGAAUGGUUUUAGUUGAGUGAAAGGAACGCUCAGCCUACUGGGGGGUUUGCCUUGGACCUGGAAGUCAUGGAACUCGACGAGUGCUAGAAUAGACUCGACGAGUCCAAGGCAAUCUCCCAAUCUUUGAAGAUGGGAUCGAUGAGUUAUUCAUACAACUCGGCGAGUCUGGAGCUCAUUUUCAGCUUAUUGUAGGUAUGAAGUUGAACAUGAGCAUGUGAGGCCAAGGGGAAACAAGAAGAUCCAGAGUUUGGAGCUCAUUUUCAGCUUAUUGUAGGUAUGAAGCUGAACAUGUGUCUAUAGAUCUUGAUUUUGGGCCUUUUUCCUUCAUCUUUCUAAUACCUAGAGAGGUUGUAUUCGGGAUUUAGUGUUGGAAAUCAGUGUAUGCUUUAGAUCCAGGUCUAUAGGGGGUUUUAUGGCACAAAGGUUCCCAUUUUGUUGCCAUGAACAACCCAUGCACCUUGGAGGCCAUAUUUUAUGGAUUUUUGGGCCAAAGACCCCUUGCAUGCGUAUCAAGUUUGGAACUUUACGUGUAAAAUGGACAUUAGGAUGCCAGAUCUAUGGUUUUGGUGUGUUAAGUCCCACUGAAAUCGACUAUAUAGUUUGGGACAAGGAGGGACUCGGCGAGUCGAGACGCUUUUUCCCCAAAAAAACGUUUUCUGGAAUGGUUUUAGUUGAGUGAAAGGAACGCUCAGCCUACUGGGGGGUUUGCCUUGGACCUGGAAGUCAUGGAACUCGACGAGUGCUAGAAUAGACUCGGCGAGUCCAAGGCAAUCUCCCAAUCUUUGAAGAUGGGAUCGAUGAGUUGUUCAUACAACUCGGCGAGUCUGGAGCUCAUUUUCAGCUUAUUGUAGGUAUGAAGUUGAACAUGAGCUUGUGAGGCCAAGGGGAAACAAGAAGAUCCAGAGUUUGGAGCUCAUUUUCAGCUUAUUGUAGGUAUGAAGCUGAACAUGUGUCUAUAGAUCUUGAUUUUGGGCCUUUUUCCUUCAUCUUUCUAAUACCUAGAGAGGUUGUAUUCGGGAUUUAGUGUUGGAAAUCAGUGUAUGCUUUAGAUCCAGGUCUAUAGGGGGUUUUAUGGCACAAAGGUUCCCAUUUUGUUGCCAUGAACAACCCAUGCACCUUGGAGGCCAUAUUUUAUGGAUUUUUGGGCCAAAGACCCCUUGCAUGCGUAUCAAGUUUGGAACUUUACGUGUAAAAUGGACAUUAGGAUGCCAGAUCUAUGGUUUUGGUGUGUUAAGUCCCACUGAAAUCGACUAUAUAGUUUGGGACAAGGAGGGACUCGGCGAGUCGAGACGCUUUUUCCCCAAAAAAACAUUUUCUGGAAUGGUUUUAGUUAAGUGAAAGGAACGCUCAGCCUACUGGGGGGUUUGACUUGGACCUGGAAGUCAUGGAACUCGACGAGUGCUAGAAUAGACUCGACGAGUUCAAGGCAAUCUCCCAAUCUUUGAAGAUGGGAUCGAUGAGUUAUUCAUACAACUCGUCGAGUCUGGAGCUCAUUUUCAGCUUAUUGUAGGUAUGAAGUUGAACAUGAGCCUGUGAGGCCAAGGGGAAACAUGAAGAUCCAGAGUUUGGAGCUCAUUUUCAGCUUAUUGU